CCUUAACGGUUUUCAUGUCUUUAAUAUAAAUCUACAAUGUAGAAAAUAAAUCAAAUAUAGAAAAACAUUGAAUGAGAAGGUGUGUCCAAACUUUAGACUGGUACUUUAUAUAAAUGUAAUCUCAUUUUGCUGACCUGUUCAGUAUAUCAUCCAUUGUGUUUACCUGCAUUUGUGUUUAUUUACAAAAAAAUAAACAAUACAACUUUAUCUAGUUGCAGAGUGACCAAUGAAUGCACUGAUAACUUUAUUAAGUGGUUAAGUAAUGUCUCAACUAAUUACUGACUCUGAGACUUUAUUAAACAUUACUUAUUUUUAAUGCUUAAUAAUGUUAUUGUAUUGAGACAAUAGUUACAAUGUUGUAAUGUCUAGUGCCAAUUAAUAAUUAGUUGAGGCAUUCUGUUGUAAGUACUGCUUUCUUUUAUACGGUAUAAAUUAAUUUACUUUUUUUUUUUUCAUUUUAUUCCAAUUUGUCUAGGCCAACUGUUCCACCCAUUUAGCUGUUACCCAACUGUAUAUCCAAUUUUUGGAUUGUGUUGGUUGGAUUGUGCACAUGCCUCCUCCAACACAUGUGAAGCCAAUCACUGCCUCUUUUCGAUCUGCUGAUGAUGCAGUAUUGCAGAGUAGCAUCACAGCGCACUCAGAGAAAAGCACAGUGACUUCCAAUACAUCAGCUCACAGACGCCUUGUGCUGAGCUACAUCACCCAGAAAGAGCAAGGCCAAUUGUGCUCUUUCAGGGCCUCGGCAGUUGGGGUAAGCUGCAAGACAGGGAUUCGAACCACUCAGCGGCCCCUCAAAAGAAGAGAAUUCUACUUGUUGUGCAGCUUUUCGGCGUAAAGAACUGACCAAGAAAGAAAAGACACGUCCAGCAUUUCCAAAUACAGACUUUUGUGAGAAGUCUAAAGUGAUACGUAGGCCAUAAGAGGGAGGAGUCUCUGUGUCCUGUUAGCUGGUUAGGAGGUGUUUAAGGCCUAGGGAUGGGAGGAGGUUGCCUUUGGAAAAACAAAUAAAAUGCACUAUGCACAAAUAAACGACA
rnacentral:lncRNA from 1 species